ACCUGACUGCUAUCGGAUUGGUACUAAGCCAUGUGAGUCAUUGUAGCAAUACAAGGCAUACGGCUCAGUAACACGUAGUCAAUCUGCCCUAUGGACGUGGAUAACCUCGGGAAACUGAGAAUAAUCCGCGAUAGAUCAUAAUGCCUGGAACGGUUUAUGGUCCAAAUGAUUCGUCGCCAUAGGAUGGGACUGCGGCCUAUCAGCUUGUUGGUGAGGUAAUGGCCCACCAAGGCUAUUACAGGUACGGGCUCUGAGAGGAGAAGCCCGGAGAUGGGUACUGAGACACGGACCCAGGCCCUAUGGGGCGCAGCAGGCGAGAAACCUUUGCAAUGUGCGCAAGCACGACAAGGUUAAUCCGAGUGUUUCCUGCUAAAGGAAUCUUUUGUUAGUUCUAAAACCACUGAUGAAUAAGGGGUGGGCAAGUUCUGGUGUCAGCCGCCGCGGUAAAACCAGCACCUCAAGUGGUCAGGAGGAUUAUUGGGCCUAAAGCAUCCGUAGCCGGUUCUGUAAGUUUCCGGUUAAAUCCACUAGCUCAACUAAUGGGCUGCCGGAAAUACUGCAGAACUAGGGAGUGGGAGAGGUAGACGGUACUCGGGAGGAAGGGGUAAAAUCCUUUGAUCUCUUGAUGACCACCUGUGGCGAAGGCGGUCUACCAGAACACGUUCGACGGUGAGGGAUGAAAGCUGGGGGAGCAAACCGGAUUAGAUACCCGGGUAGUCCCAGCUGUAAACGAUGCAGACUCGGUGAUGCACUGGCUUUUGGCCAGUGCAGUGCCGCAGGGAAGCCGUUAAGUUUGCCGCCCGGGAAGUACGUACGCAAGUAUGAAACUUAAAGGAAUUGGCGGGGGAGCACCACAAGGGGUGAAGCCUGCGGUUCAAUUGGAGUCAACGCC
rnacentral:rRNA from 1 species